CCUACGGGUGGCAGCAGUGGGGAAUAUUGCACAAUGGGGGAAACCCUGAUGCAGCAACGCCGCGUGAGUGAAGGAGUAUUUCGGUAUGUAAAGCUCUAUCAGCAUGGAAGAAGAAAGACGGUACCUUACUAAGAAGCCCCGGCUAACUACGUGCCAGCAGCCGCGGUAAUACGUAGGGGGCAAGCGUUAUCCGGAUUGACUGGGUGUAAAGGGAGCGUAGACGGCUGUGCAAGUCUGAAGUGAAAGCCCGUGGCUCAACCGCGGAACUGCUUAGGAAACUGGCUGUCUUGAGAUGUCGAGAGGUAUGCGGAAUGCGCAGUGUAGCGGUGAAAUGCUUAGAUAUUGCGCAGAACUCCGAUUGCGAAGGCAGCAUACCGGCGGCGAUCUGACGCUGAGGCACGAAAGCGUGGGUAUCGAACAGGAUUAGAUACCCCUGUAGUC
rnacentral:rRNA from 1 species